rnacentral:snRNA from 1 species
GGAUGUGAGGUUGACCUGGCUGCCUAGGCAGGAGUGGUUUUCCUACUUUACCAUCCCAUGUGUGUCCCGCCCAAAGCUGCAUGCUUGGUCAAAGGUGACUCCCCUGAUAGAGAAGGUCCAGUCCUCAUCAAGGAUGCGUGAGCUAUACGGCUAGAACCUCCAAACAAGCUCCCAAGGCAUUUCUGUUGCUGGUCGUGGUGGUGCACGACUCAUCAGGCAGAGGGUGGUAGAUCCCUGUGAGCUAUAGGCCAGCCUGGUUUACACA